rnacentral:lncRNA from 1 species
AUGAGCAGGAGCUUCGAGCAGUGGUCUCCCCACUGGACUGGUGCUGCCCCCAGCCCAGGCUCCAUGGCCGGGGCCCCCUGCGCCUACAGAGUACCUCACAGCGGAAACACCACUGAGUGCUGUAGACCCGGGGUGCGCAGUGGCCCUCGGGGACCAGUGCAUGCGGUAGGAGUGGGUCUGACUAUGGUUCAUCACACUCCCGGGACGACUGCUGCGUGGGAAAGGGACAUGCGGACCUUGCCCAGCUCAGUGGAAAGGGGCCCGGGGUCCACGUCAAGCACCCAGUAGUGCAGGCCACUGUGAG